rnacentral:rRNA from 1 species
AUUGAACGCUGGCGGCAUGCCUUACACAUGCAAGUCGAACGGUAACAGGUCUUCGGAUGCUGACGAGUGGCGAACGGGUGAGUAAUACAUCGGAACGUGCCCGAGAGUGGGGGAUAACGAGGCGAAAGCUUUGCUAAUACCGCAUACGAUCUCAGGAUGAAAGCAGGGGACCGCAAGGCCUUGCGCUCACGGAGCGGCCGAUGGCAGAUUAGGUAGUUGGUGGGAUAAAAGCUUACCAAGCCGACGAUCUGUAGCUGGUCUGAGAGGACGACCAGCCACACUGGGACUGAGAAACGGCCCAGACUCCUACGGGAGGCAGCAGUGGGGAAUUUUGGACAAUGGGCGCAAGCCUGAUCCAGCCAUGCCGCGUGCAGGAUGAAGGCCUUCGGGUUGUAAACUGCUUUUGUACGGAACGAAAAGACUCUGGUUAAUACCUGGGGUCCAUGACGGUACCGUAAGAAUAAGCACCGGCUAACUACGUGCCAGCCGCCGCUGUAAAAC